AAUCUUUAAUGCAUUUUUAUAUGUUCGCAUCUGUCAUAGAAAUAUAGUUGGAUCGCAUGUGAAAUUAGGUUUAAUUCUAAUUGAGAGAGAUUGUUAAACAAAUUAGGAAUAUUGGUCUUCAUAAUUGAAUCGUGUUGUCAAUUUUAUAAAAUUCGGAUUAAAGGGGAUUCAUAUAAGGGGAUUCGGGAUCCUGGUACACAUUUCGUUAUCACAUUUUUAUAAAAUUUGCAUUUAGUUAUAGUCAUGCAUUUAAUCUAGUUAAUUUAGGCUUUAUAUUUAUAAGUAGGUUAUUAAAUCAUAAUUUAGUUAACGAAAAUAUCGAGAAUUUCUAUUGUUUCGAUUAAGGCGACGAUAGGUAAAAUUGAACUAAUCAAUCUCUGUGGGACGAUAUUCGGACUUAUUUAAUCCACUUUAUUACUUGUUAACGAACUGUACACUUGCGGUAGUUUAAAAUCGAAAGAAAUAAUUUCGCGAACAGUGUCAUUGUUCUUGUGCAUUUUUUAUUGUGUUUAUAUUUCCAUCAUUUGUUUGGCCAAUAGAUGAUUGUGUUAGGUGGUUUGUGCAAUUAUUGAGAGAGGGUUGUGCUUUCUAGAUCAAAAUAAGCCCUAGGUUCUUUUAGAAUAUAGAGAUAUACUCCUAGUCUUAUGUGGCCAAUUGAGUUAUUUUUACUAUAAUUUAAUGCAGUUGGUUGUGUUUUUGUCAACAUAGAGAUAUAGUGGGUAAAACAAAUUAAUUACGAUUAGUUUCACUCGAGAGAGGUAACUAACUAAAAUUGAAAAAUUGGGUCUAACAUUGGAACUUGCUAAUUUACAUUUUUGGUUUGUUGAAAUAUUGAUGAAAUGACAAUCAGGUGAAAUCAUAAAUUCCAACCCAUCUCAAAUUUAGAACAUUUUCAUUUUCAUAACUGUUAAUUAAAUUUAAGUCUCGAAAUAUAUUCUUUAUUUCUAAUUUGAAAGAAUUUAAUUGUGUGUCUCUAUCGCUAAUUUGAAUCAAUUUUUGUAUAAUUGGAAGAAAUACUCUUCGAGGGAUUGACUCGUACUCAAAAAGUCCAUUGCAUUAUUUGUAACGACCCGUGCACUUACGGUUUGCACUUUUAACAAACAAUUAGAUUAGGUCUUGCUAUAGAUGAAUUUAAUCAUUUCAAAGAUCUUAGCUGUAAAUAAAGUUGUUGGCCAAUAAUUUUCACUAUAUAUAACUUGCCUCCCUCAUUAUGCAUGUUAAAGGAAAGUCUAAUGUUGAGUUUAUUGAUCCCGAGACCUAAGCAGCCUGGUAAUGAUGUAGAUGUUUUUUUUGACACUACUUGUAGAUGACUUGAUAUUGUUAUGUAAUGAUGGGGUUGAUACGUUUGAUGUAGUUACGAAGUGACUUCAUUUGUCUUACACACAAGAAUUUAAUAAUUGUAAAUACCAUAAAUAUGGAGCAAAUAAAGGAAAGAUUCCAUUUUUAAUCCAUGGCAAUAUUUUAUUCUUUCCACACACACACAUCUUUGAAACACACAAGAUUUCAUAAAUUGACUUUUGGAGAUUUAAGUACUUUACUCUUAUUUAUCAAAUUCCAUUACGAGAUAAGUGAUGGUGCAUGUGGUUUAUAUGAAAAAUGUCAAGGAAUAGAAGUUACUAAAAAUAAGGACAUAAAACCAUGAUUUAGAAUCACGUUCAAAUCAAUUUAAAGCUUUUUUUUUUUUAACACAUGAAACAAUUAAUAUCUAACCUUUUUUAAAAAAAAAUUUGUCAAUUUUUUAUUUUAUUUUAUUUUAAACAUAACAGUGGUGGUCACUAUUUAGUGAACAGUAACCAUUUUGUAAAAAUGCGGUUACUGUUUACAUGAAUAGUACCGAGCACUGUUCAUGUAAAACAUUCUUUUUUUUUGAGUCUAUAGAAUCGAUUUUAAAACCCUGGGCUCUGAUACCAUUCUGUAAUACCCCAAUAUUUAAGUAGAUAAAAAUUGGGGCGUUUCAUUCACUAUGGUUGAAGCAUGGUAGGAAUUUUGCGUACAUAAGAUAUAGAAGAUUUCUCAGCUUUGAUCAUCCAUGCUGUAAGAAAAAGAGCUGGUUUAUUGGACAUAUUGAAAAUGGUAUUAGGCGGAAGAUGAAAAAUGGUGACGAAGAUUUUAUUGAAGUUGAUAAAAUUACAAAUGAUUGGGGAAAAUUUGGUAAGCCUAAGAGGAAGAGGAAUACAACUCAAUCUAAUGUAACAUGGAAGAAAAGAUCGAUAUUUUUCAAUCUGCCAUAUUGGAAGGUAAUUGCUGUAACAUAUCCCUCUUUUUUUUAUUUAAUACUUCUAAUUGCAUGUACAUUAAAAUGACACAAUUGAUGUUUGAUUUGCAGACGCUACUUGUACGUCACAAUUUGGAUGUGAUGCACGUUGAAAAGAAUAUGUGAUAACAUCCUUAGUACACUUUUGGAUGUUAAAGGAAUCCUAAACAUGACACUAACUCUCAUAAGGACUUAGAAGCUAUGAACAUUUGGUAUGAUUUACAUCCUGAAAGUAGAGGAAAUAAAUUCUAUCUACCAGCUGUUCCUCACACUUUAUCGAAACCUAAACGAGAAAUGUUUUGCAAAAGGCUUGCUAACUUGAGAUUACCCGAUGGUUAUAGAUCUGAUACUGAAAAUUACAUUUUGGUGGAAGAAUCUAAGAUAGUUGAACUGAAGUCUCAUGAUUAUCACAUUUUAAUGCAACAAUUAUUACCAGUUGGUUUGAGGGACUUCUACCUAAAGGACCAAGGAACUCCAUUUCGAAGUUGUGUUUUCACUUUUCAAUGAAAUAUGUCAAAGAGUUGUGGAUAGAAAUAAUGUCUAAGGAUAGAAAUAAUGUCUAACAAUUAGAGGAGGACGUGAUAGAAUUUGUAUACAUGUUGGAAAAGUAUUUUCCGCCUUCAUUUUUUGAUAUAAUGGUUCAUUUGGCAAUCUAUAUUGAGAGAGAAGUUCGUUUAUGUGGACCAGUACAAUAUCUUUGGAUGUACCUAUUCGAGAGGUAAUACUCAUUAAAGUUAUUCGAAAAGCUAAAUUCAUAUCUAAUUGGUCAAUUUGGAUGUUUCGAAUAUUUGUAUCUAUACAGGUAUAUAAAAGUGUUGAAACGGUAUGUUAUGAAUCGUGCAAGGUCUGAAGGGUGCAUAGCUGAACGUUAUAUUGUUGAAGAAAAUACAAUGUUUUGUAGCAAAUAUAGAACACAAGCAUCUGAAAUUAGCACUAAGCUUGUAUGCAAUGAGAAUAUGAGAGUGAUUUCUUAGUUGUAGGGCUUACAAUAUCUAAAGGAAAGUCGCUUGUGCUAUUCGAUGACACGUUGAAAGUGACUCAUCGCUAUGUGUUUUAAAUAAUAUGGAAGUUCAACUACACAUAGAGUACGUUUAUUAAAUAUCUACUUCAAUUGACUUAUUGUUUUACCAUAUUCAUUUUUUGAUAUAUUGUAUUUACCUAGGAUGCAUAUGGAUGAACUCAAGAGUCUUGACAAGCGAUGUGCUCGAAAUAAGACUUUAUUGCAUAAGAAGCACAUUGAUUCUUUUGCUACCUGGUUGGAUGAUAAGGUUGGGAUACAGAUAAAAAAUUAUGUCUCUCAGUUCUAUUAGUUACUUUACUCCAAACAUUUUUAAAAUAAAUACAGAUUAAAUGUCAACUAUUGGUGGAUAGUAUUUUGAACAAUUUGAUGUGGCUUGCACGUAAUCCUAGAUGUCAAUCCAUAUCAUAUUUUGGAUUUAUCAUAAAUGGUCUUCAAUUUCACACUAAAGAUUCAGAAAAAUCAUGUUAAAACAUGGCAUUUUAGUUGAGGCGACAACUAUUUGCAGAUCCAGUGCAAAAGAUAAUGCACAUAUAGUUGGACAAGUUCUUUAUUAUGGAGUUUUAUGUGAUGUUAUAAUUCUUAAUUAUAACGCAUUUCAUGUUCCAAUGUUCAAGUGAUUGUGCAAAUAUCGUGAAUGGAAUAAGAAGGAAAGAUGGAUUCACUCUGGUUAACCUUAAUGAAGGACUCAAACAACUUGAAAAUGAUCAUUUCAUCUUGCCGACACAAGCGAAACAAGUCUUUUACUCCAGAGAGAAUGAAACAUCUAGUUGGUAUGUUGCUUUGCAAGCACCACCUAUUGACUUUCAUUCUUCACACAUGGAAGAAGACACUACGUAUGAGGCAACUAUUCCACUAGAUAUAUCACAACGAAUUAUAGAUAACCUUGAUGAGGAUGAGAAUUAUGCAAGGAUAGACGUUGAAGGCUUAUUAUGUUAUUCGUAGAGUAGUUUGGUAACUAGCUUAUAUCCUCUUCAUUUUUUAAUAUUUUAACAUGUGAUACAUGUAGUCUUCAUAUUUUUAAUCUCUAAUCUUUAUUUAUUUUGAUGUUGCAGAUUUGUAUUCUACCUCUUGGUCAUCUUUCGAAUCAAUUAACAGUACAAAACAUAUUAUACAAGAUGGACAAAUCUGAGGUAAUUAUUUUUUUUUCUUAAAUUUGUGUAAGUUAUUUGUUAAGUUUCAAAAAUUAUUUUAUUUUAAUUUAGUUUUCAUGGUGCAUUGUUACAGUCAACUCUGCAAGCUUCCAAGAAGCCUAAACAAUGGAGAGCUACAAUUGCUGUGGCAAUUCGGAGACCAAUAAGAGGCUAUGGUUGUUGAGCGAACUAGAAAAUUCUUUACCUACUCCAAUUCAUGAUGAGCAAAACACGCAGCCUACAAAUGCAAAUGUAGAAGCUUCGAAGAAGAAAAUAGGUCCAACUCAAGUGAAAAUGAUUCCUGGAAAUAGUCAUCAGAAGAUGGAUCUCGAAUUCAAUAAAUAUGGGCAAGUAGUCGGCCAUAAUUCAGAUAAAUUUGCUAGCGUAGUUGGAGCCAUGGUAUGAGAACAUGUGCCUGUUGUAAUUAAAGAUUGGCAUUCAGUCGAUGGGAAGAAAAAAAUGGAACUUUGGAAUUUCAUACAGCUAUAUUUGUGAACUACCUUUUAACAUUAUUACGCUAUACUAUUUUCAGACUUUAAUUUAUUUAUUUAUACAAGUACAACAAAGGAUCAAUGUGAUAGAUUGUUAUCAAAAAAUAAUAAUUCAAUGUAUGGGAAAGUAUUAGAAGACAUUUAAGUCAAGGCUGCAAAAACAAAUCAGAAUUCAAGUUGAAUCAUCUGUGAAUAGAGCUCACACUACGACCCUUCUUAGACCGAAGAAUGUUAAAUUUGAAGAAGCAUGGGAAAAUUUUGUCAAGGAUAUGCUUUCUGCCGACUUUUGUGUAAGUUUAUUUGCAUACAAGGCUUCAACUUUUAAUAAUUACUGUACGCUAAUACUUUUUGGUUUUCGUAAUAGGAAAAAAGUCCAAAAUUUAGUAACAUGAGAACAUUUCAAAAGUUUGUCCACACUAUGGGUCGAAAAGGUUAUCCACGCAUUGCCCAUGAAAUGGUAAAAUUACAAACAUAUAUGUUCUUCUUAUUUGAAUUGUCCCACUUUAGUGUAUGUAAUUAUCGGAUUUUUAUUGUAGAGAAAAAAAUAUCCAGAUAUAAAAGAAUUGAGAACUAGAGUAUGGACUCAUGGUCAUCUUAAAGAAGAUAGAAAAUCGAUAAAUGAAGCAGUAGUCGACACUUUAGUAUGCAUUUUAUAUUCAACGUUCAACUAAGAAUAAUUUCAUUUAUUAUAUGGACCACUUGUUAAUAUAAAAUUUUAGUUCCAUGACUACAGAAAAAGAUUGAAGCAUGUGCUCAAUCUUCAAUCCUUUUCUGAUACACUAGCAGAAGACUCCAUUCGCGAUGAUGUUGUUGCUCGAGUUUUAGGUCCUGAGCGCCAGGGAAGAGUUAAAGGACUUGGAUUUGGAGUUGUACCAUCAAAAGUGGAUGGACAAAUUCAAAGUAAUGUGAGAGUUAGAGAACUUCAAAGUCAACUACAAAGUCAGUCAGAAAGGGUGGGAACGUUAGAAGAAAUGGUUGAAGCAUUUCUCAAGCUAUCUCAACAGGUUAUAAUCUUUUACAAUUAUAUACUGUGGUAACAAUGCUUAACAUAGUGAAGUACAUGUAGAUUUACUUUUCAUAAUUUUUGUAUCAUCUUGUAGAAUAUGGAGGAUAGGAGUUCUCGUGCUUUUACUCUUCAGGUUUUUGUAUCUUACAUUAUUAAAUGUUUAUUUAAUAUAAAUCUAGGUCAUAUAGAAAUCUAAUUUAAAAAAGUUUUUUUUUUAUAUUAACUGUGAAUUGUAGUCACACCAUGGAAGAGCUGUUCAAGGAGGUACUUCCAAUCUGGAAAAUGCGAGGUGUCAACUAUUACAUUAGUACAUGUUUGAGGAUGAAGAAAUUGUUGCAAAAGGGAAGAUUGCAACAGAUCCAAGUACAAAAGUGCAUCACUUGCCACUUGGAUGAGACUAUUGGAAGAUUUGGAUUGAGGAAGUGUAUAUGGAUAACUUGACAUUAUAUAGAUUGACACAUGAACUUCGAACUCUUAGUGAAGCCACGAGAAGUACUGUUGCUUGGUCAAAGAGCAGUAGUUGACUUAUUUGAUGAAGGUAUGUGUCGUUGGAGAAUUACAUGUGUACGAAUCAAUUAUAGUUCUAUUUAUAUAUAUGAGUUAUAAAUCAAACAUGACAUGAUUAUAUUUCAUUUUCCUUUAGCUAAAAACCAAGCAGAGCUCCUACAUUUGUACAAAGCAGGGUGAUUUCUAUUAGUAUGUUAUAGUGCAAGAAGAAGGUUUCAUGUAUUUCCAUAUUGCAUGGGUCAAAAAUAUGUAAGGAAUAUUAACCUCAAUUUCAUGCAUAGUUCGAUGAAAUGGAAAUGCAACAUGAACUACAUUUGUUUCCAUUUUGUAUUUUUGUAUAGGUUAAAAUAAGUAACGAAAUUGAAAUCUCAGUUUAUGCAUUAUCUUUAAUUUGUUGCUAAAUUUGCAUAUUUUUACUAUAGAAAUUUUUAGAAAUAAUCUCUAACACGGGUGAAAUAAAUACAAAAAUAGCCAAAAAUGGUGUAAAUAAUGAGAGAAACGACAACAUUUUUUAAAUGUUGUUGAAAAGUCUAUCGCACAUUUUAAUAAACGUUUCAAUAGAGGUUUCAGCAACAUCGAGGUUUGCAACAUAUGUUCAAACGUUGCAUAAGGUCUUUGACAACAUUUUUUGAAUGUUGCAGAAGACAUUUUUGUUGUAGUGCUACAAGAAAUUUCUGCACACCACCAUGUGGUCGCAUGGCUUUAUUUUUUAAACUUUUCUCUUUGUGUAGAAUUUCGCGAUGAUUCCGAAUUGUUUUCAUGGGCAAAAAUCCAACAUCUGAACUGAAAGUUAUGCCCGUUUUAAUCCACGCUACUCAUUUUUCCAUAUAUCUUCCAAAACAUUGAAUCAAACGUACCAAACAUGAUUUCGCUUUCAUAACCAACAUAUAAGUUGUUAUUUAGUUCGUUAACUUAAAAAAAUUUUACUCCAUAGCUCAAAUAAAUAAUUUGCAUGGCUUGUUAGCUCGAAUUAAGCUCGAAUCUUGGUCUUUGCCACUCAUCAACCAUCAACAAAUUCUCGAUAAUUUCUACCCCCCCCCUUGGAUCACAUCAACAUGUUUGUUUAGGGCAUGGAUGUCAAAUUCCCCAAGGAUUACUUUGGUAUGGAUCGCAAAAUAGGCGCCCUUAAUGCAGCUACCAUACUUUGCAUUGAAUCGUUGAGUGUAUUAGAACCUCCCAUCGAAAAUGAAGAAAAUGAUGAUUAUGAUUUUGAAGAUUCUAGCAGUGGGUCUGACAAUUUUCAAAAAGACAAUAAUUGAUUUUGUAAGUUGAAGCACUUUUAUCCGGGAAAAUCACUAAAAUUCUUUGAUGAGAGAAGCCACACUUAUCACUCAUCCAAAUUUGAUGAGCCCUAUAAUUUUAUAUUUAAGAUUGUCUUCUACCGUUGACCAUGAUUAUGCUGCCAACAUGUAUUAACGUUAACACGUACUUGCGCAUUUUUGGGAGAGUGGAAAUUGGUGUCGUAUGAUUUAUUAAUCAGCAACGAAAGCGGAAUCUACUGUUUCAAUUUCCUUUUCUUGAAGUUUGUAUUUUUGCCUUUUCACAAUAAUGCAAACUCGUUCUUCAUCCAUCAAGAAUUCACAAUAUAUCCUAACAAAACAUUUUUCACGUCUAUUCAAUUAUAAAGUAAAAUAUUGAUAUCUUUCUGUUUUCAAUGGACACUUCAAUAUAUAUAUAUAUAUAUACACACACACACACAUAUACUCACAUGAUGUGUGUGAGAGUAGUUUCUCGACUGGUUCAUGUUUAAUACACUUGUGUGUUAUAUAACAACUCCCUGACAUUAGGGAUUGCAUCAAAAUGCUUUCAAUGUAUCAAUGUUGCUUGAGUAAGUUUGAUCACUUUGUUUUCAUCCAUAUAUCCUAUCGAAUUGAUAAAAAUGAAGAUGGGAAAAUUGCUAAGUGACCAGUAUGGUUACUCAAUCUUUCCAAUGUAUUCCCCACUCUUGAAUGGAUAAAUUACAAGCAAAUGAGUUCUUAAAUACUACAAAAAACUUUGAAAAUCAAGAUCACAAUCUACAGCAAAUAAUAUAAAUUAAAGAGCUAAAAUACAGCUAUUAUAUCACUUCCCCGUUGUCCAGUGCAGGGUGCAAAACAGAGGAAUGGCCAUAUUCAGCUACUUUCUUCUUCAGGACAUGUUCGACCAGAAAUGGUUAGGUCAACCUUCAAAACCUGUGCCUCAGUCUUCUGUACAGAUCAGAUUUCUUUCAUUUUUGUCUGUGGUCUGCUCGUUACUCCCCUUCAAGAUGGGGAUGUGAUGCUAUGAAUCCCCAUCUUGCUUAGAAGAAAAUGAAACUAUUGUGAACCAAUUGCCUUGGUGAGGAUAUCUGCCACUUGCAUCUUAGAUGGAAUAUGUGAUGAUCUCAAUAAACCUUCCUGCAGCUUCUCUCUUACAAUAUAACAAUCGAUUUCAAUAUGUUUUGUAUGUUCUUGAUAAACCGGAUUUGAGGCAAUAUAAAUCGCGGCCUGAUUAUCACAAAAGAGCUGAACUGGUUUAACUAAAUCAACUCCAAGAUCACACAACAAACUUCGAAACCAUACCAGUUCGCACGUUGUGGAUGCCAUCGACCGAUAUUCUGCUUCGGCGGAUGAGCGAGAGACUGUCCGCUGUUUCUUGGAUUUCCAUGAAAUUAAAGCAUUCCCAAGAAAAACACAAAACCCAGUAAUGGACCUUCUUGUUAUCGAACAAGCACCCCAGUCCGCAAUGCAAAAUGCUGAUAAUUGGAGUGAGCUUGAAGCUGGAUAGAAUAGACCCUGUGAUGGUGAGCCCUUCAAAUAUCUUGCUGUCCGCAAGGCUGCCUUCCAAUGGGUGUCCUUUGGUUUGCUUAAAAAUUGGCUAAGCACUUGAACUGAAUAUGAAAUGUCCGGACGAGUGAUGGUUAAGUAAAGUAACCGCCCAAUGAGUCUUCUAUAUUUUGUAGGAUUAGCAAGAUCAAUCCCAUCCUCUGCAGUUAGUUUUAAAUUCUGCUCCAUAGGAAAACCAACGGGUUUUGCAGCAAGAAGUCCGCAAUCCUGUAAGAUUUCUAAGGCAUAUUUCCUUUAACAAAUGGAAAUGCCUUGAGAUGAUUGUGCCACUUCGAUGCCUAAAAAAUUACUUCAAUGGACCAAUGUCCUUGAGCUUGAAAUUUUGCACUAGAUAAUCCUUCAAUUGCUGUAUUUCCGAAGCAUUAUCACCUGCAAUAAUCAUGUCAUCAACGUACACCAACAUAGUAGUAAAUGAAGUGCAUGUUUUCUUAACAAACAAAGAAUAGUCAACCUUAGAUUGAAUGAACCCAAUCUUAGUGAUGACUGAAGUGAGUUUUUGGUUCCAUUGACGAGAUGCUUGCUUCAAUCCGUAGAGUGACUGUCUUAAUUUGCAAACCCGUUGCUCCCCUUGAGUACCAUAUCCCGGAGGUAGAGACAUAUACACUUCUUCAUCCAAGUCACCGUACAAGAAAGCAUUAUUGACAUCUAGGUGAGAUAGGGACCAGUUUUUGGAGGCUGCAAGGGCUAAGAAACAUCGCACAGUUGACAUCUUGGCCACGGGUGAGAAGGUCUCAAAAUAGUCUUCACCUUCCCUUUGAGUGUAGCCUUUUGCAACCAAUCUUACCUUGUGUCGUUCAAUGCUUCCAUCAGCCUUGUAUUUGGUCUUGAACACCCACUUGCAUCCAAUAGUUUUCUUCCCAUCUGGUAGCUGUGUAAGUACCCAAGUCUGAUUUUCUUCUAAUGCUCUUAUUUCAUCAUUCAUAGCAAUCCUCCAAUGAGGGUAUUUUAUGGCUUUGACAUAAGAAGUGGGCUCCGGUUCAAGGCUAACUGCUAAGGUAAAUUACAAGUGUGAUGGUGACAAAUGUGUAUAACCAAGAACCAAAGAGAGUGCAUAAGGAUUACCUUCAUCAGAUGACUUGUCAAGAGUAGGCUCGUUUGGUGUUGCUAAAGAGGUCACCAGCUUGCAAUGAAAAUCUUGAAGGUAAUGGGCUGUUUUCUAUCUCUAGUAGAUCUCCUCAGCUCAGGUAGAGACCCUAUCGCUUGGACAGGAGGAAAGUCUGGUGAACUGGGAUUUUCUACAGUAGGAAGAGCAGGAAUAUGCGUAGUUUCCACUUGGUUUGGUGCGCUGCUAGAGGUAUCAAAUGAAAGUUGUGUAUUUCCUUCAAUAUUGGUGUCGACCGGUUGUUGUGACAAUUCCAUGGGAUCAGAAAUUGGAUUAGGAAUAACCGCAGUAUUAUCUAGUGUGGAUAUGGUCAGAGUAGGCAAAAGAGAUGGCAUGUCAGUAUGUUGUUUGAAAGGAAAAAUUUCUUCAUAAAAGACCACAUCACGACUAACUAAGAUUUCAUGAGUUUUCAUGUCGAAGAGCUUGUAGCCCUUAAUUCCAUUUAGAUAUCCUAUAAAAAUACAUUUCUUAGCCCUUGAGUCAAACUUGGUUCGAUGAGGGUCGAGGUUUGAUGCAUAGCAUAGACAUCCCAAGAUUCUUAAGUGAGAAUAUGUAGGAAUUUUGGAGAAAAUGAUUUGGUAAGGGGUUUGGUUCUGCAGAUUUGGUGACGGAGUACGGUUGAUCAAGUAUGCGGCUGUAAAAACACACUCCUCCCAAAACUUCAAUGGAAGGUUGGCUUGGAACCUUAAUGCCCUUGCCACAUUUAACAAAUGUAAAUGCUUUCUUUCUACUAUGGAGUUUUGUUGAGGAGUAUAGGUACAACUUUGUUGGUGAAUGACUCCUUUUGAGGAAAAAAAUUCGGUCAUUUGGAACUCUUUUCCUUGAUCUGUUCGAAUGGCUUUAAUCUUGCAAUGGAAUUGAUUUUCAAUGAGGUUAAAGAAGGUUAUUAUUAACUGCCGUGUCUGGUUUUUGCUCUUCAUGAGAUAAAUCCAUGUAUUUCUACUAUGAUCAUCAACGAUUGUUAAAAAAUAAUGAGCUCCAUUGAGAGAGGCAACAAAAAAAGGUCCCCAAAUAUCCGCAAUAAAUCAAAACAGGAUUCAACAAACUUGCCAUCAGAUGGAAAAGGUAAACGAGUUUGUUUAGCCAUAUGACAAGUAUCACAAUGGUGUCUUGUAGAGAAAAUGGGGAUAGUGGGAUCCAUGCUAUGCAACAAAACAAGGCGUUGGUCUAAUGGAUGUCCAAGCCUUAGGUGCCACAAUUUUGGUGUCAAGGUAGUAAGAGAAUGUGCAGCUGGUAGAUGGUGGUGUAACUUGAUCUUAUGGUCACUUUCGUGUAGGUAGUACAACCCGUUCACCUCUUUAGCAACUCCAAUCGUCCUCCAAUGGACUAGCUCCUGAAUGAAACAGUAACCAGAUAAGAAUACAAGACAACAAUGGAGAUUUUUGGUCAGUUUGCUGGUCGAUAUCAGAUUGAAACUAAAACUUGGUACAUAUAAAACGUUCUCAAGAGUAAGAGUGGAUGAAAUGCGAAUAGUUCCUAUAUAUGUGACAGCAACCACAGUACCAUUUGGUAAUCUAACAGAUGUGUUCGAGAGAGAUUUCUUGUGUGUAAACAUGUCAAGUAAACUUGGUACAUAUAAAACGUUCUCAAGAGUAAGAGUGGAUGAAAUGCGAAUAGUUCCUAUAUAUGUGACAGCAACCACAGUACCAUUUGGAUGAAAUGCGAAUAGUUUGCUAGUCGAUAUCAGAUUGAAACUAAAACUUGGUACAUAUAUAACGUUCUCAAGAGUAAGAGUGGAUGAAAUGCGAAUAGUUCCUAUAUAUGUGACACCAACCACAGUACCAUUUGGUAAUCUAACAGAUGUGUUCGAGAGAGAUUUCUUGUGUGUGAACAUGUCAAGUAAACUAACUAUAUGGUCAGUUGCACCUGAAUCUAAAAUCCAAGAGUUUGAGUAAACCUCAGUUGACAUGCAGCUAAGUGAGGGACUGAUUGAAAAAGAGAAAGUGCUGGGAUUUUUACCUGUCAUAUUUGAAUGUUGGUUACCUAUGGGUUGUGAAGUGGAGCUAGCUUGGGGAGAUUUUUGGCUUUGGAGAAGAGUUAUCAGUUGCUGAAUUUGGUCAUGAGAAAUAUUCAAACUUGAGCUAUUUGUGCCUUCAUUUGCAGCAGCAAAACUCACUGUUUUGUAGUCAUUUCCAGAUGUUGCUGUAGCCUUGUAGAAUUUGUGGUUGGGUGGAUAGCCAUUAAUCUCCCAACAAUUGUCUAUGGAAUGAUUAGUGCGGCCACAUUUCUUACAUGGAGCUUUGUCUUUUAGUCUCAUCCCUUUGUAGUUAUUAAUCUGUCCUUGUCUGGAAGAAUUUUUCUGAUAUUGAAAUUUGCCAGAGAACAUGGCAGCAGACUCGACUGUGGUAUUACUGCUUUUGGUCAGCUCUUGGUCAGCUUCUUCUUAUAAAAUAAAGUUGAAAACUCUGUCAAGUGAUGGCAAUGGAUCCCUCAGAAGGAUUUCGUUCCUCAGCCCAUUGUAAACUUCAUCUAAACCCAUCAAAAAUUGCAUAAUCUGUCUUCUUUCUUGCCUCUUCAUGAUUAUGGAGAUGGCUCCACAAUCAGUUGCCAUGCACUUGAAUGGUUCCUCAUAUCUCGAUAUUUCUUCCCACAUGAGUUUCAACUUUGAAAAAUAGACACUUACUGGUGUUUUCUCUUGCUUGGUCACUGCUAGUUGUUGUUCAAGCAUAAAAAUUCGACUAUUGCUUGACUUAGCAAAUCGUUUCUUGAGUUCCUCCCAAACUUGUGAUGCUGAAUCAGAGUACAUGACAUAUCCUGCUAUCUCUGGUGAAAGACUAUUCAUAAGCCAAGACAAGAUCAUGUGGUUGCAUCUUUGCCAUUGUGGAUAUUUCUCAUCAGUUUCUUCAGGCUUCUUGAUUGUGCCAUCAAUGAAGCCCAGCUUAUUUUUGGCAGAUAGAGCCACAUACAUGGCUCUACUCCAAGCAUGAUAAUUUUGGGGUGUAAGAGGCUGUGAGACAAGGAGUAAGCCAGGGCUCUCACCAUGGUGGAGAAAGUAUGGGUUGGAUGAUUCAUCACUAAGCUGUGUGUUGCUUUUGGGUCCUGGAUUUGCUUCAGCCAUGAUGGGUUAGAAGGAGAAUUUAAGGCAGGUGCUGGAAGAUGAGAAGAUAGGUGAGAGCUUAAGCUCGAUUCAACAGAGGCUGAGCCUCUUGCUCUGAUACCAUGAUAAAAAUGAAGAUGGGAGAAUUGCUAAGUGACCAGUAUGGUUACUCAAUAUUUCCAAUGUAUUCCUCACUCUUGAAUGGAUAAAUUACAAGCAAUUGAGUUCUUAAAUACUACAAAAAACUCUGAAAAUCAAGAUCACAAUCUACAGCAAAUAAUAUAAAUUAAAGAGCUAAAAUACAGCUAUUAUAUCACUUCCCCGUUGUCCAGUGCAGGGUGCAAAACAGAGGAAUGGCCAUAUUCAGCUACUUUCUUCUUCAGGACAUGUUCGACCAGAAAUGGUUAGGUCAACCUUCGAAACCUGUGCCUCAGUCUUCUGUACAGAUCAAAUUUCUUUCAUUUUUGUCCGUGGUCUACUCGUUACGAAUAUGUGUACGUUGUGUGCAUAAUAUCUGUAGAUGUACAAUCGGUCUCCCUUGCACUUGUUAUUGCACUACUCAAAUUUUCCUAAGUCACUGCAUUACAUAAUCAAUUUUAUUAAAUUUUGCGUUGAAGCACGUUUCUUCGUGAUUAUUUUGAAUUAACAGUAAUAUUAAAAUUUGUCUCUGGACCCCCGAGGUAUAGCCUAGUGGUACAAAGGACAGGAGUGAGGUUAUUUCACGUCUUGCUGGCAGCCGCAGUGUGGGGGUUCGAUUCCUGAAACAUGGAAUUGGACUCCUUGAAGGCGCAGUGUACAGAUAGCUCUUGUUCCCUGGCCUGUUAGGACACAUCUCGCGAUUUACCUCCCUCACAAAGCUCUAGGGGCGGAGCGGUGAGAGCCCUCAAGUUUGGGGUUCAACCUUUUUUUUUUAAUAGUAUGCUCUGUUGUCUAUAAAUGUUUAAUGUCUUAAAUGCACGAUUGAAUAGGAAGGGAAAGUUCAUCACCAAUAUCAAUGUUUUCUAAGGACAUGACGUAAAACCAAAUCUCAACCUUAAGUUAAAUGUGCAGCAGAAGCAGAUAUUUAUGGCAUUGUGCUUUGAUCUUCCUUAAGAUGAAUGAUAUCCUCUUACACGGAUGGAUUUAUGUGGGGCAGUGGGGCCCACACUAAAUUUAAAAUUUCAAAAUUUACCCAAGAUUUUUCAAAAUUUAAAAAAAAAUGAAAAAAUUUCUUCAUAGUUUUCAAUUUUUGCUUCUACAAUUAAAAUUUUGUAAAAAUUGCCCUCAAAAUUCUUUUAUCUUACCUCCGUCCGAUUAUAUCAACAAAUGUUGAUGUUGAUAUUGACUAGUUCUUUGUAUGUAGCUUGUGGUUUGAUUCAAGUUCAUAUCAGUUUACGAUUUUGGAAUGAAUAUUUCAUAUACCAUGAAAUUACUGAUUAUUGAUAUACUAUUCAUUUUUUUCGUCAUCGUUUUGUUUGGUCACUUCAUGAAAAUGAUUCUGUACGUCAAUUCUACUCAAUGUAUCUCUCACUUAUUUUACGGAUAUGCUUGGAAAAUUUGUGACUUUUUUGUUGGUGAAUAUGUUCAUCAAACACGGAGGUUUCAUGCAGUUUGCUGUAUGCGUUCAUAUAGACGUUUUUUGUGGAUCAAGAUUUGAUUCAUGUAAAUUUUCUUUAGGAUAAAACUCUGUGUACAAAGCUUUUUUUACAGAGGUCUUAUCGACCCCUCACAUGAGAUCGAUGCCAUGUGAGCCCCGAUGUAAUAAAAAAUGAAGAAAAAAAUCCCAACCUCACCCCUUUGUGAGAACUCUGUAAGAGUUCUGUAAUGCGUUGGGUUGUACGCCCGUACUGCCCUUUUCUUUAUAUGGGAUAUGAUGUAUUCUUUUUAUUUCAGGUUUAAGAAAUUUCAUUCUUAAUAUUGUUUGGCUCUCUUCAUGAAGUUACAUUUAUCUAUUAACCGUUUCGAAUGUCUGCAACCAUUCUCAACCUAUUUUUAGUAGAGAGUUGUCAUUUGUUAUUCAUAAAAUUUUAUUUUAUCUCAUGCAUAUGUAGUUUUUUCUUUAAUUAAUAACUAAAAUGAUAUGGGGAUCAUCAUUUUUUUUAUAUAAAAUGUGUAGUGCAUUAUGUCAACUGCGGAUAUUAAUUCAAAUCAUAAAAUAAGCUGAAGUGUAUGAUUAAUUAGUGUUGGUGACAUCAGAAUCUAUCUACCUUAUCAUCAUUUAUUGUUCAUUUCCCCAUAUUACCCUGUUAAAGUAAUUCUCCUUUUUUUUAUCGGUCAAUGUAAAACUUAAUAAAUCAAAACUCAUUUACAAGUACCCUGAACAUAUUUGGGUAAUUCAAGAUCAAGUAAGCAAUACAUGUACACCAAGCAUACCCGAGUAAAUAAAAAUAAGAUCUACAAACUAUCAUCUAAUGACCUAAGGACUCAAACCGGAUCAAAACUGUUGGGUUUUUGAUACCCAAUGAAUCCCGGGCUAUGAUGUUAACGUGGGUUAAUAUUAUUUCUUAGGCAUAGGCCGAUGAAUGAAAUAAGUCCAACAACCAAGUCCAUGAGCUACACCCGGCCCAAUUGUAUUCCUUAUGGAUGGUUUGAAUCUUGGCCCGCUUACCCCUUUAAUGGCCCAACUUAAAACCUAACCCUAGAGUAUAUAUAUGAAUAUAACCCUAGCCUCUUUGAUAUGAUGAUUGUGUGAUUUUGAAAGAAGAAACUAGUGAAUCCCGGAUGCCCCCCUUUUGUGUGAGAAAAAGGUGUCCAGAAGUGUCCAGAACGCUUGUAUAACGUGUGCAAUUGAUGGUUCUUUCAUAGUAUACCUUUGUGGUGUCUUCUCUUAGCCUUUGUGGCGAUAAAUCAUCAUCCCUUCUUGUCCUACGUGGAUAAGAUUGUAUAGCAACCAAGGUGAAUCAAUUGGCUGUGGUUUGGAGCCGUUUGGAUUGGUUGUUGGUAGAGAAAGGUACGUUGGACUGAGCCUGAAAAAUCACCGUUUGAAGAUCUUUUGAGAGAGCUUCCGUAACAAUUGAUAUCAGAGCUUCAAGGUGAAGGUUUUGGCUCGUGAAAUCUACCAGAAAUCGUCCAAAAAAAUUGGCAGAAACGUGGCAGAAAUCAGAUCGAAAAACUGUCCAGAAAAAAAUCAGUCUCUGUUUUGGUGUUUUCUGACCAAUCCAGAACGAGUUUGGGGAAACAGAGACCACUGGUAUAACGUGCAGGCGGUGGCGAUCAAGACGGUCAGGCGCGUGUGAACGGCGGCGGCGCGUGGCGGAGGCGCGUGGAGGCCACGCGCAGGGACUGAUUGGGCGCGUGCGGGCGCGUGUGAAGUUUUCUGGCUACGGUCUCUUCAGGUAGUUUGUUCCUUAUAUUAUUUUUAACAUUUUUGGUAUUGAAAGUUUUCUAUUUCAGAGUAUACAGAAGAAUCUGGACAGCGUUGUUAUUUGGGCGUUCGGGACUCGAUCGUGAUUUUUCGGUUGCUACAGUUUCCAGAGACUUUAGGACGAAUAGUGAUAGUCCUAAAGUGAUGAAUUCGCGUCUCUCAAUAUUUACGGACCUUCAGACGUGGUCCGCUCGGUAUCGUGUUCUUUGUUUUUAUUAUUGCAGUUGAAAUAAAUGUGUAGAGUAAUUUAUUUUUUGCAUUAGAGGUCAUCGUGUGGGAUGACAUUAGGUUUGGGGUUACCAUGAAGGGGGUAACCAUUGCCUGUUGCUAGACCUAGGAAUUAUUUGUUAAUUAUUUGCCUUAAAUUCUUUGUGAAUUUGCUGUCAAUUUUUUCUACAUUAUUAGAAUUGCAUGUGGCCUUAGGAAAGUUUACUGGACUAUUCUGUGUGAAUUAUGUUCAUACUUUACUUGUGGUCAUUAUUUGACAUUGUUGGAAAAUGUGGAUCUAAGGUAAAUGCAAAAAAUAACAUAUAUUUUAACUGUGGUGAAAUUUGGACAUAGUUGAAAGAGAUUGUUCUAGGAUGAUAAGAAAAGGAAAGAUGAGGAUAGAGACAAGGUGAAUAUGACUUUAGGGUCGAGUAGUGAUCCUAGUGAGGUUUAUUGAGAGAAUAAACUUGGUUCUUGCAUUGCAUCUGUGUGUAAUCCUUUCUGCAUGUAUGUGGUCACUUAAUUCUGUUGUGAUGUUGAUUUUACACUUUCAAUAUGUUUGAUGUGUGUAAUUGCAUGAAUUAGAGGAACUUAUUACUUUGUGUAAUAUGUUUACAUGCAUAGUGAGUUAAGUAUUGUGGCGUACUCUAUUUGCUCUGUGAGUGGUGUGAGAGUGUGGUAGUGAGAAGAAAGUUGGGCAGCCGUUUCUCUCCUUUAUCUUUGUGAGUCUGUGUGGUUUGUGAGAUUAUGUGAGGCAGCCAUGUUAGGGUUAUAUUCUUCCUCUUUGUGAGCCUCUUUUGUGAGUGUUGUGAAGUAACCGACUCUUUCUUCGAUUCUCUUUGAGAGUGCCACCUUUACUAUUUUCUUUGUGAAUUUUUUGGGAGCAUUGGUGAGUGGAUUAACCUUUGUGGUUACCAAAAGGUGUUGUUUAGCCAUAGUGAGUUUGAGAUGCAUUAGCAGUGAGUUGGAUGUCUUUUGAUGAGGUGGAGUAUAGAUGCCUAGAGGUGCAUUGGUGAUAUGCACGAGGGAUGUAGAGUGUGACAUUUGGAUCACGAGUGGAGAUGUGAUCAAAUGUCUAGGAUCCUUUAUCUGGAAAGAGACCCUGAUCAGGUGGAGUGUGAGAGAGGCACUUAUAUCACUUCUGUUAGGUGGAGACCCAUUAUCCACGUAGGUUGGGAGAAGUGAUGUGGAGAUAAAGGAUUAUCCCGUGGACUUAGGAUCUAUUGUGACUUGCCAGUUAGACAUGAGUUGAGUGAACUGUCUAUUGAGCUUGGUGGGUGAUGAGAGGAGAUAUGUGUUCUCGUGGUGUGAGCAACACGGAAUGGGAUAGGAUAAGUGUGGUGAGAUCUUUUCUUAGGGUCAUUUAUGCAUGUGUUGCAUAUGUGGUUGACCGUGGUUUGAUUGACUUGGUGUUAAUCUAUGGUUCUAUGUGAACGUGUUUCUGAAAAGAUCUGUGUGUGUUAUCCUAUAGUAUAUCGUCAUCGCAUGUGUAUUUGCUCUUGAUUGUUUACUGUUAAAUAUUUGCUUCUACUUGGGUGUUUUUGACCUUAGCCCCAGUGAGUACAUGGAGCAGGUAUGGUAUGUGUUUCAAGUUGGAAACACGAGGUAAGGUCUGUGAUCCAAUUUUAUUGGCUACCUUGAUUAUGCAAGUGUUAACUGUGUGUUUUGAUUGCUUGCAGAUUUAUUGGGCAUCAAGGUGGAGAUUUGUUGGGUUUUUGAUACCCAAUAAAUCCCGGCCUAUGAUGUUAACGUGGGUUAAUAUUAUUUCUUAGGCAUAGGCCGAUGAAUGAAAUAAGUCCAACAACCAAGCCCAUGAGCUACACCCGGCCCAAUUGUAUUCCUUAUGGAUGGCUUGAAUCUUGGCUCGUUUACCCCUUUAAUGGCCCAACUUAAAGCUUAACCCUAGAGUAUAUAUAUGAAUAUAACCCUAGCCUCUUUGAUAUGAUGAUUGUGUGAUUUUGAGAGAAGAAACUAGUGAAUCCCGACUGCCCCCCUUUUGUGUGAGAAAAAGGUGUCCAGAAGUAUCCAGAACGCUUGUAUAACGUGUGCAAUUGGUGGUUCUUUCAUAGUAUACCUUUGUGGUGUCUUCUCUUAGCCUUUGUGGCGAUAAAUCAUCAUCCCUUCUUGUCCUACGUGGAUAAGAUUGUAUAGCAACCAAGGUGAAUCAAUUGGUUGUGGUUUGGAGCCAUUUGGAUUGGUUGUUGGUAGAGAAAGGUACGUUGGACUAAGCCUGGAAAACCACCGUUUGAAGAUCUUUUGAGAGAGCUUCCGCAACAAAAACAUUCGGAUACAAAGUAAACAUAGCUUUGUAUACGUGUGUUUUAAUCCUUCUUGCAAUAGAAUCGACUUGUGGUCGAAGAUUUUCAAAAAUAUUUCUAUUCCCAUCCAAAUGUAGUAGAGAGUGGUAGCAAGUGCCAUAUGCUUAGAUUUGCUUUGCCCACUCGUUCCUCGAUCUUCUUUUCUAAUCCACUCCAACGAACUCAACAAGGAUGACAUGUUACAUAAAAUAGCUAGCCAACAACGAAUGUGUUCCCAGAUGGCUUUGUUGAUCGGACAGGAAACAAAAUAGAUGUUGUGUUAUCUCCUCAAUUUGCCCACAAAAAGAACAGCUUCGGUCCAAGUCUAGGUGCCGUAACCUGUCUUUGGUUUAUAAACUGUCCACCACUCCCAACCAAAGGAUAAAUGCAUGCUUUGGAGUGAUAGAACCAUUUCAAACAGUAGAUGUCCAACCAGCUUUAACACCCUUUGUUCGAAAGAACUCAUAAGCAGUCAUGGUGCUAAAUCUACUCGCCUGUGUCCAGCGAUACAACCUAUUUGCAGCUGCAUGUAUUGUACUCUCUUGCUCUAUGAUUUUUUCCCUGAUUUCCAGCACUUUUUUAAGCAAUGGAGAGUCAUCUUUCUUCUUCAUAUAUUCCCAAAUGUCAAUGCCACGAAAAUGGCCCAAAUCCACCCAUUUUAUUAGAAGAUAAUUUUUCUUAUUGUGGAUGUUCCAUAUUGUUUUGGAGAGUAAAGCAACGUUCCAACUUUUGAUAUUUCUCAAACUAAAUUUUUCUUAUUGUAAAUGUUCCACAGUGUUUUGGAGAGUAAAGCAACGUUCCAGCUUUUGACAUUUCUCAAGCUAAGCCUGCCUUCAUGCUUUGGCAAGCGAAUGUGAUUUCAAGAUACCAAUGAUUUCUUGAACUCCAAAGGAACUUAUGGCACAAACUCAUAAUUUUAAAAGCAACCAUUUCUGGAAUGGGGAAGAUAGAUAGCCAAAAAUACUCCACUCCUUAUAGAAUGGUUUUCACAAGCUCUGCUCUCCUCGCAUGUGAUAGAGGAAUGCUCGACCAUGCACCAAUAUAAGUAGAAAUUUUGUUGAUAAAAGUAUCAUAUGGACUAAUUUUGAAUUUCUCUGCCGCUAGUGGUAUGCCCAAGUAGCAAAAUGGCAUGGCAUCAUUAGGGAAGAUAGUUAGUACAAGGAUGUCCUCCAAAUCUUUACCAUGCACUCCCGCGGUGUGUAAACUAAAGUUAUCAACAUACAUUUUGAGAUUUGAUAUAUCUCCAAACCUUGAAAGACAAUUCAUCAAGAUAUCUAUCGUCAUAACAUCUUCUCUUCCAAAAUGCAUCAAGUCAUCGACAAAUGCAAGAUGUGUGAUCUUUAAAGGUGCACAUUUAGGAUGGAAAUUAAACUUAAUAUCAUCAGUUACCCUUUUCACCAAUCUAGAGAAAUAUUCUGGACAUAGUACAAACAAAUAUGGAGAGAGAGGAUCACCUUGGCGGAAACCUUUCCUUCACUUGAAAAAACCAUGAAGGCUACCAUUAAGAGCGAUAGAGUAAGUAGGUGUUGUAACACACUCCAUCACCCAAUCAAUGAAUGUAGUAGGGAAACACAAACCAACAAGCCUGCUGUCCAAUUGCUCCAGCCUGCUGUAUCACCCCCGUUUCAGUUGGAAAAUCACCAUCAUUGCCAAUCUGUGAAACACAUUCAACGGUAGAAAUCUGGUCCUUACUUUUUGCAGCAAUCUGCCCAUUUUCCUAACCCGAAACGUGCUUUGUAGAAGCCUCAACAGCUUGAUUUUGUUUGCUGGCCUAUUUAUUUAAAUUGCACGAAGCUGCCUUAUGUUCGAACAUCUUGCAAUUACCCCAAAAUCUUGGCUUGUACUCAAAAACCACUUGUUGAAUUCUAUAUUUACCCGUGGGUAGAGUCAUUACCAUGGAUUGAACCAAGUCUAUCAAUGCAUCAACCACCACUAAAACCUGAGCAUAAGCUAACCACUCCUUGUUCGACAUGAAUUUAUCCAUGGAUAUUGGAUUCCCAAUCUUUGAAGCAAUUUUCACCAGCGCUCUAGAAUUCCAACAAUCCAAAGGAAGUCCCUGAAAUUUCCCCCAUACCAGCACUAUGCUAAUAUUUUCAUCAUCAAAUUCAAAACACAACGACAUAGUCUUCAACAUUAAAGAUAGUCUUCCUGGUACACCCCAAAUCGCCCUAAUUUUACUCUAUCGGGUCAACAAUUAUUGUAGCAACCCUCCUUCUAUGAGCAGUGGAAUGAAGCAUUGGAAAAAGCUAUUCGUUAAAACUUAUAAAGAGACGUGUCUGUUUUUCUUUAAAAGUUUAAAAACUCCCCAAAAAAAUUAUGCACUCUGUCCAGAGACAUACCGUUCUCGUGCAUUUUCUCCAUACAUGUGGUCCCAUACUUCGUAAAAUUAACUUGUUCAAUUAUAGUCAUUCUAUAUGUAAUCUUGUUCAAUUAACUUUUUGCUAUCUUCAUUCUUAGUCCGAUAUUGAAGGAAAAAGUUGCUAACUUUAUUCUUUUAGUCAAUCUCAUACUUUGAAUGAAAAAGUAACUCUUUGCUACCUUUCCUUUUCAAAUAUUUUACGGUCUAUUUUACAGUCAUAUUUUUCCACACAAAAAAGUGCUAAAAAUGCAGCAAACCAAAGUUGCUUUUAAAACUUUGUCAAUUGUUAAGAACCAAGAGGACAGUAUUCAGAUAAACUAAUUUUGAUACUUUUAUCAUUGUUAUUUUUUUGUUGUAUCACAUUUGUGCAUUUUAAUUACUUUAGGAUGAAGGAAUAUACAAAAAUGUCCUACAAGAAAUGGCCCAGAAAGAAGGUCUUAAGUUUCCAUCAUAUGAGACAUCCCCAGCAAGUCCUCACAAAAUUGGAUUUGUGUCAAUUGUUGUGGUUGGAAGUGACACUUUCCAAGGAAUUGAAGCCAGAACUAAGAAGCAGGCAGAAGCAAAUGCAGCUGAAGUGGCUUACAUUGAUCUUAUUCGAGUAAGAAACUAAUGUGGAAAAAUAUGUUCAUGCUUUGGUUUGCUGCAUUUUCAACACCUUUUAGUGGGGAAAAAUAUGUUCGUGCUUUAUAUAUUUUUCCAUCCAGAGAUAUACCUGACUUGUAGUAGAGAGCGUGAGGAGGGUCGUCGGGUUUAUAAGCGUACCCAAGUAUAGUAAGACCUUUCUUUUGAGCAUAUUGUUGCAAUAGAUUUACAUAUAUGUGCAACUUGACUUCGUAUAUUAUGAUAAGGUUUUCCUUUUUCCUUUUGAAGAUAGACUGUAAAAUAUUUGAGAAGGUAAGGUUGCAAAGAGUUACUUUUUCAUUCAAAGAAUGGGAUUGACUACAAGAAUGAAGUUCGCAACUUUUUCUUUCAGUAUGGGACUAAGAAUGAAGAUCCUAGCUCACCCCCCAACUACCGGCGCGAUCGUUGGCCUGGUAUAACCCCGAAUUGCCCUACUUUUACUCUAUGGGGUCGACAAUUAUUGUGGCAACCCUCCUUUUACAAGCAGUGGAAUGAAGCAUUGGAAACAGCCAUUCGUUAAAACUUAUAAAGAGACGUGUCAUUUUUCUUUAAAAGCUUCGAAACCCAAAAAAAAAAAUGCAUAUAUCCAAGGACAUACCAUUCUCGUGCAUUUCAUCCAUACUUGUGGUCCCAUACUUUGAAAAAUUAACUUGUUCAAUUAUAGUCAUGCUAUAUGUAAUCUUGUUCAAUUAACUUUUUGCUAUCUUCAUUCGUAGUCCGAUACUGAAGGAAAAUGUUGCUAACUUCAUUCUUGUAGUCAAUCUCAUACUUUGAAUGAAAAAGUAACUCUUUGCAACAUUUCCUUCUCAAAUAUUUUACAGUAUAUCUUCAGAAGGAAAAAAGAAAACCUUAUCAUAAUGUACGACGUCAAGUUGAACAUAUAUGAAAAUCUAUUGCAAAAAUAAGCUCAAAAGAGAGGUCUUAUUAUGCCUGUGUAUACUAAUAAACACAACGACCCUCCUCACACUCUCCACUAUGAGUCACGUGUCUCUUUGGAUGAAAAAAUAUAUAAAGCACGAGUAUAUUUUUCCCCACCAAAUGGUGCUGAAAAUACAGCAAACCAAAGUUGCUUAUGAGGCUUUGUCAAAUGUUAAGACCCAGAGGCCGGUAUUCAAACCAACUAAUUUUGAUACUUUUUAUCAUUAUUACUUUUUGUUGUAUCAUAUUUGUGCAUUUCAAUUACUUUAGGAUAAAGGAACAUACAAAAAUGUCUUAUAAGAAAUAGCCCAAAAAAAAGGUCUUAAGUUUCCGUCAUAUGAGACAACCCCAGCAGGUCCUCACAGGGCUGGAUUUGUGUUAAUUGUUGUGGUUGGAAGUGAAACUUUCCAAGGAAUUGAAGCCAGAACUAAGAAGCAGGUAGAAGCAAAUGCUCCUGAAGUGGCUUACAUUGAUCUUAAUUGAGUAAGAAACUUAUUAUUUAUUAGGUUUUGAGUUCGCUCCGACAGCUACGUUAACUAUCGAGUAAGAGCAAUGUCAGUCACUUCAGCAGCAUUUGCUUCUACCUGUUUCUUAGUUCUGGCUUCAAUGCUUUGGAAAGUGUCACUUCCAACCACAACAAUUAACACAAAUUUAGUCUUGUGAGGACCUGCUGGGGAUGUCUCAUAUGACGGAAACUUAAGACCUUCUUUUUGGGUCAUUUCUUAUAGAAUAUUUUUGUAUAUUCCUUUAUCCUAAAAUAAUUAAAAUGCACAAAUGUGAUACAACAAAAAAGCAAUAAUGAUAAAAGCAUCAAAACUAGUUGGUCCGAAUACUGGCCUCAUGGGUCUUAAAAAUUGACAAAGCUUCACAAACAACUUUGUUUCGCUGCAUUUUCAACACUUUUUAGUGAGGAAAAAUAUGCUCGUACUUUAUAUAUUUUUCCAUCCAGAGUAGACACCUGACUUAUAGUGUAAGGAGGGUCGUCGAGUUUAUAAGCAUACACAAGCAUAAUAUGACCUCACCUCUCUUUUGAGCAUACUAUUACAACUUUUUUCCUCUGUAUAUAAAGUAUUGGAGAAGGUAAGGUUGCAAAGAGCAACUUUUUUAUUCAAAGUAUGGGACUAAAGAUGAAGAUCCUAGCUCACCCCCAACUACCGACGCGAUCGUCCACCUGGUAUACCCUCGAAUCGCCCUAAUUUUACUCUAUGGAAUCGACAAUUAUUGUGGAAACCCUAUUUCUACGAGCAGUGGAAUGAAACAUUGGAAACAACUAUCUGUUAAAACUUAUAAAGAGACAUGUCUGUUUUCCUUUAAAAGCUCCAAAACCCAAAUAAAAUGCACUAUUUCCAAAGACAUACCAUUCUCGUACACUUCCUCCAUACUUGUGGUCCCAUACUUUUUAAAACUAACUUGUUCAAUUAUAGUCAUUAUAUAUGUAAUCUUGUUCAAUUAACUUUUUACUAUCUUCAUUCUAGUCCGAUACUGAAGGAAAAAGUUGCUAACUUCAGUCUUGUAGUCAAUCCCAUACUUUGAAUAAAAAAGUAAAUCUUUGCUACCUUUCCUUCUCAAAUAUUUUACAGUCUAUAUUCGGAAGGAAAAAAAAACCUUAUCAUAAUGUACGAAGUCAAGUUGCACAUAUAUGAAAAUCUAUUUCAACAAUAAGCUCGAAAGAGAGGUCUUAUUAUGCCUGUGUAUGUUAAUAAACUCGAUAACCCUCCUCACGUUCUCCACUACAAGUCACGUGUCUCUCUAGAUAGAAAAAUAUAUAAAGCACGAAUAUAUUUUUCCACACUAAAAGGUGCUGAAAAUGCAGCAAACCAAAGUUGCUUGUGAAGCUUUGUCAAUUGUAAAGACCUAAGAGGCUAGUAUUCGAACCAACUAAUUUUGAUGUUUUUAUCGUUAUUGUUUUUUUUUUUUUGUUGCAUCACAUUUGUGCAUUUUAAUUACAUUAAUAUGAAGUAAUAUACAAAAAUGUCCUAAAAGAAAUGGCCCAAAAAGAAGGUCUUAAGUUCACGUCAUAUGAGACGUCCCCAGCAGGUCCUCACAAGACUGGAUUUGUGUCAAUUGUUGUCGUUGAAAUUGAUACUUUCCAAGGAAUUGAAGCCAAAACUAAGUAGCAGGCAGAAGCAAAUGCUGCUGAAGUGGCUUACAUUGAUCUUACUUGAGUAAGAAGCUAAUUAUUUAUUGGAUUUUGAGUUCGCUCCGACAACUAAGUUAACUAUCGAGUAAGAACAAUGUAAGUCACUUCAGCAGCAUUUGCUUCUGCCUAUUUCUUACUUCGGGCUUCAAUUUCUUCGAAGUGUCACUUCCAACCACAACAGUUGAUACAAAUCCAAUCUUGUGAGGACCUGCUGGGGAUGUCUCAUAUGACGGAGCCUUAAAAACCUCUUCUCUGGGUCAUUUCUUGUAGGACAUUUUUGUAUAUUCCUUCAUCCUAAAGUAAUUAAAAUGCACAAAUGUGAUAUAACAAAAAAGCAAUAAUGAUAAAAGCAUCAAAAUUAGUUGGUCCGAAAUACUAGCCUCAACAAUUGACAAAGCUUCACAAGCAACAAUGGUUCCCUACAUUUUCAUCACCUUUUAGUGUGGAAAAAUAUGUUCGUGCUUUAUAUAUUUUUCCAUCCAGAGAGACACCUGACUUGUAGUGGAGAGCGUGAAGAGGGUCGUCGAGUUUAUAAGCAUACACAAGCACAAUAAGACCUCUCUUUUGAGCAUAUUGUUGCGGUAGAUUUACGUAUAUGUGCAACUUGACUUCGUACAUUAUGACAAUAUUUUCUUUUUUCCUUCUGUAGAUAGACUGUAAAAUAUUUGAGAUCAUAAGGUUGCACUUUGCAAUUUUUUCAUUCAAAGUAUGGGACUAAGAAUGAAGAUCCCAGCUCACCCCCCAACUACCGAUGUGAUCGUCCGCUUGGUAUACCCCUAAAUCGCCCUAAUUUUACAAUAUCGGGUCGACAAUUAUUGUGGACACCCUAUUUCUACGAGUUGUGGAAUGAAGCAUUGGAAACAGCUAUCCGUUAAAACUUAUAAAGAGACGUGUCUAUUUUUCUUUAAAAGUUCCAAAACCCAAAAAAAAAUGCACUCUUUUCAAAGACAUAUCAUUCUCGUGCAUUUCCUCCAUACUUGUGGUCCCAUACUUUGUAAAACUAACUUGUGCAAUUAUAGUCAUUCUAUAUGUAAUCUUGUUCAAUUAACUUUUUGCUAUCUUCAUUCGUAGUUCGAUACUAAAGGAAAAAGUUGUUAACUUCAUUCUUGUAGUCAAUCUCAUACUUUGAAUGAAAAAGUAACUCUUCGCUAUCUUUCCUUCUCAAAUAUUUUACAGCCUACCUUCGGAAGGAAAAACAAAACCUUAUUAUAAUGUACAAAGUCAAGUUGCACAUAUAUGAAAAUCAAUUGCAACAAUAAGCUCAAAAGAGAGGUCUUGUUAUGCCAAUGUGUGCUAAUAAACUCGACAACCCUCCUCACGCUUUCAACUACAAAUAACAUGUCUCUCUGGAUGGAAAAAUAUAUAAAGCACAUGCAUAUUUUUCCACACUAAAAGGUGUUGAAAAUGUAGCAAACCAAAGUUGCUUGUGAAGCUUUGUUAAUUGUAAAGACCCAAGAGGCCAGUAUUCGGACCAACUAAUUUUGUUGUUUUUAUCGUUAUUGCUUUUUGUUGUAUCACAUUUGUGCAUUUUAAUUACUUUAAGAUGAAGGAAUUUACAAAAAUGUCCUACAAGAAAUGGCCCAAAAAGAAGGUCUUAAGUUCACGUCAUAUGAGACAUCCCCAGCAAGUUCUCACAAGACUGGAUUUGUGUCAAUUGUUGUUGUGGUCGGAAAUGACACUUUCCAAGGAAUUGAAGCUAGAACUAAGUAGCAGGCAUAAGCAAAUGCUACUGAAGUGGGUUACAUUGAUCUUACUCGAGUAAGAAACUAAUUAUUUAUUGGGUUUUGAGUUCGCUCCGACGGCUAAGUCAACUAUCGAGUAAGAGCAAUGUAAGUCACUUUAACAGCAUUUGCUUCUGCCUGCUUCUUAGUUCUAGCUUCAAUUCCUUGGAAAGUGUCACUUCCAACCACAACAAUUGAAACAAAUCCAGUCUUGUGAGGACCUGCUGGGGAUGUCUCAGAUGACAGAGACUUAAGACCUCCUCUCUGGGUCAUUUCUUGUAGGACAUUUUUGUAUAUUCCUUCAUCCUAAAGUAAUUGAAAUGCACAAAUGUGAUACAACAAAAAAGCAGUAACGAUAAAAGCGUCAAAAUUAGUUGGUCCGUAUAUUGGCCUCUUGGGUCUCAACAAUUGACAAAGCUUCACAAGCAACUUUGGUUCCCUGCAUUUUCAACACCUUUCAGUGUGGGAAAAUAUGUUCGUGCUCUAUAUAUUUUUCCAUCCAGAGAGACACCUAACCUAUAGUGGAGAGCGUGAGGAGGGUCGUCGAGUUUAUAAGCAUACAUAAGCACAAUAUGACCUCUAUUUUCAGCAUAUUGUUGCAAUAGAUUUACGUAUAUGUGCAACUUGAGUUCGUACAUUAUGAUAUAAUUUUCUUUUUUCCUUCCGUAGAUAGACUGUAAAAUAUUUAAUGUAAAGUUGCAAAAAGCAACUUUUUCAUUCAAAGUUUUAAUUUUUAUAUGCUAAGCUUAAUUUUUCUUUCAAAAUCCAGUUAUAUCUUUGAAUGAAAAAGUAAGCUUAGCAUAUAAAAAUUAAAACUUUGAAUGAAAAAGUUGCUCUUUGCAACCUUACAUUCUCAAAUAUUUUAUAGUUUAUCUACGGAAGGAAAAAAGAAAACCUUAUCAUAAUGUACGAAGUGAAAUUGCACAUAUACAUAAAUCUAUUUCAAAAAUAUGCUUAAAAGAGAGGUCUUAUUGUGCUUGUGUAUGCUUAUAAAGUCGACGACCCUCCUCACACUCUCCACUACAAGUCAGGUGUCUCUUUGGAUGGAAAAAUAUAUAAAGCACGAACAUAUUUUUCCACACUAAAAGGUGAUGAAAAUGCAAGGAACCAAAGUUGCUUGUGAAGCUUUGUCAAUUGUUGAGACCCAAGAGGCCAGUAUUCGGACCAACUAAUUUUGAUGCUUUUAUCGUUAUUGCUUUUUUGGUGUAUCACAUUUGUGCAUUUUAAUUACUUUAGGAUGAAGGAAUAUACAAAAAUGUCCUACAAGAAAUGGCCCAAAAAGUAGGUCUUAAGUUCACAUCAUAUGAGACAUCCCCAACAAGUCCUCACAAGACUGGAUUUGUGUCAAUUGUUGUGGUUGGAAGUGACACUUUCCAAGGAAUUGAAGCCAGAACUAAGUAGCAGGCAGAAGCAAAUGCUGCUGAAGUGGCUUACAUUGGUCUUACUCGAGUAAGAAGCUAAUUAUUUAUUGGGUUUUGAGUUCGCUCCGACGGCUAAGUCAACUAUCGAGUAAGAGCAAUGUAAGUCACUUCAGCAGCAUCUGCUUCUGCCUGCUCGAGUAAGAAGCUAAUUAUUUAUUGGGUUUUGAGUUCGCUCCGACGGCUAAGUCAACUAUCGAGUAAGACCAAUGUAAGCCACUUCAGCAGCAUUUGCUUCUACCUGCUACUUAGUUCUGGCUUCAAUUCCUUGGAAAGUGUCACUUCCAACCACAACAAUUGACACAAAUCCAGUCUUGUGAGGACUUGUUGCUGUUGGGGAUGUCUCAUAUGACGUGAACUUAAGACCUACUUUUUGGGUCAUUUCUUGUAGGACAUUUUUGUAUAUUCCUUCAUCCUAAAGUAAUUAAAAUGCACAAAUGUGAUACACCAAAAAAGCAAUAACGAUAAAAGCAUCAAAAUUAGUUGGUCCGAAUACUGGCCUCUUGGGUCUCAACAAUUGACAAAGCUUCACAAGCAACUUUGGUUCGCUGCAUUUUCAACACCUUUUAGUGUGGAAAAAUAUGUUCGUUCUUUAUAUAUUUUUCCAUCCAAAGAGACACCUGACUUGUAGUGGAGAGCGUGAGGAGGGUCGUCGAGUUUAUAAGCAUACACAAGCACAAUAAGACCUCUCUUUUGAGCAUAUUGUUGUAACAGAUUUAAGUAUAUGUGCAACUUGACUUCGCACAUUAUGAUAUGUUUUUCUUUUUUCCUUCCAUAGAUAGACUGUAAAAUAUUUAAGAACUUAAAGUUGCAAAGAGCAACUUUUUCAUUCAAAGUAUGGGACUAAGAAUGAAGAUCCCAGCUCACCCCCAACUAUCGACGCGAUCGUCCGCCUGGUAUACCCCCGAAUCACCCUAAUUUUACUCUAUCGGGUCGAUAAUUGUUCUGGAAACCCUAUUUCUACGAGCAGUAGAAUGAAGCACUGGAAAUAGCUAUUCAUUAAAACUUAAAAAGAGACGUGUCUGUUUUCCUUUAAAAGCUCCAAAACCCAAAAAAAAAAAAUACACUCUAUCCAAAGACAUACCAUUCUCGUGCAUUUCCUCCAUACUUGUGGUCCCAUACUUUGUAAAACUAACUUAUUUAGUUAUAAUCAUUCUAUAUGUAAUCUUGUUCAAUUAACUUUUUGCUAUCUUCAUUCGUAGUUCGAUACUGAAGGAAAAAAAAGUUGCUAACUUCAUUCUUGUAGUCAAUCCCAUACUUUGAAUGAAAAAGUAAUUCUUUGCUACCUUUCCAUCUCAAAUAUUUUACAAUCUAUCUUCGAAAGGAAAAAAAUGCCUUCUCAUAAUGUACGAGGUCAAGUUGUACAUAUACGUAAAGCUGCUGCAACAAUAUGCUCAAAAGAGAGGUCUUAUUGUGCUUGUGUAUGCUUAUAAACUCGACAACCCUCCUCACGCUCUCCACUACAAGUUAGGUGUCUCUCUGGAUGGAAAAAUAUAUAAAGAACGAAUAUAUUUUUCCACAUUAAAAGGUGUUGAAAAUGCAGCGAACCAAAGUUGGUUGUGAAGCUUUGUUAAUUGUUGAGACCCAAGAGGCCAGUAUUUGGACCAACUAAUUUUGAUGCUUUUAUCGUUAUUGCUUUUUUGGUGUAUCACAUUUGUGCAUUUUAAUUACUUUAGGAUGAAGGAAUAUACAAAAAUGUCCUACAAGAAAUGGCCCAAAAAGUAGGUCUUAAGUUCACGUCAUAUGAGACAUCCCCAACAGGUCCUCACAAGACUGGAUUUAUGUCAAUUGUUGUGGUUGGAAGUGACACUUUCCAAGGAAUUGAAGCCAGAACUAAGUAGCAGGCAGAAGCAAAUGCUGUUGAAGUGGCUUACAUUGGUCUUACUUGAGUAAGAAGCUAAUUAUUUAUUGGGUUUUGAGUUCGCUCCGACGGCUAAGUCAACUAUCGAGUAAGAGCAAUGUAAGUCACUUCAGCAUCAUUUGCUUCUGCCUGCUUCUUAGUUCUGGCUUCAAUUCCUUAGAAAGUGUCACUUCCAACCACAACAAUCGAAACAAAUCCAAUCUUGUGAGGACUUGUUGGGGAUGUCUCAUAUGAUGUGAACUUAAGACCUACUUUUUGGGCCAUUUCUUGUACGACAUUUUUGUAUAUUCCUUCAUCCUAAAGUAAUUAAAAUGCACAAAUGUGAUACACCAAAAAAGCAAUAACGAUAAAAGCAUCAAAAUUAGUUGGUCCGAAUACUGGCCUCUUGGGUCUCAACAAUUGACAAAGCUUCACAAGCAACUUUGGUUCCUUGCAUUUUCAUCACCUUUUAGUGUGGAAAAAUAUGUUCGUGCUUUAUAUAUUUUUCCAUCCAAAGAGACACCUGACUUGUAGUGGAGAGUGUGAGGAGGGUCGUCGACUUUAUAAGCAUACACAAGCACAAUAAGACCUCUCUUUUAAGCAUAUUUUUGAAAUAGAUUUAUGUAUGUGCAAUUUCACUUCGUACAUUAUGAUAAGGUUUUCUUUUUUCCUUCCGUAGAUAAACUAUAAAAUAUUUGAGAAUGUAAGGUUGCAAAGAGCAACUUUUUCAUUCAAAGUUUUAAUUUUUAUAUGCUAAGCUUAAUUUUUCUUUCAAAAGCCAGUUAUAUCUUCGAAACUAUUAAUAGAACAAGUUUCUUGUAAUAGCUUCACUCUUACAAAUGCUCGUAAUCCUUCAAAGGGAUAAUCGAAUCAUAAGCUUUCCAAACAAAGAGACAGAUGCUCAGAGGUACACUAAAUCCUUUUGUCUUCCUUUUCAUUUUAUGUUAACAUCCAAGUUCAAGAAUUUCCGCAUAUCAUAACUCUUCAUGAAAAAAUUCUUCAUUUGAGUCGAUAAGCAUUUCAAUGCUCAGAAUUUUUCAAAUGCAGCUAAGAAAUUUCACAUAAAGUAGACAGUCUCCAAUUCACAUAAUAUAUUAUAAUACAAACCCUGAUAUCAUACACUAAAUUAUAGAUACACAAAGUUACCGCUACUAAUAUAAAUAGACGUUUAUAAAUGAGACAGUUGCAAAGCCACAUGAUGUCUUGGCCGCCACAAAAUUUUGGAAUUUCCUUUUUCUUUUUAUACUUUUCUCCAAAAUUUAAAUUUUAUUCCUCUCCUCUUUUUAACUGCGCAUAAAGUUUUCCUUAAGGGCACAAAUUUGAAAUCAUUAGUUAAAUUAUCAUUCUUAAUCUAGAGUUUGUUAAUUCCAUCAAAAUCUAACGUUUGUCGCUACUCAACUCGCCGAUGCCGAUGACAACCACAAAUGUUUAGCAACCUCUCAAGCCUCAACCCACAGUCACGCAGUUUUCAAAAAAAAAAAAAAAAAUUUACAACUUACUUUUUGACCACACAAUGGAAAACGUCUAGCUCUGCCAUUCAUUGUAGAAGAACCAGGUUCAUCAGUUUUGCUGUGUUGAAACUUGAACGAAGUUGGUUCCUCAAGAAUUUUAUAAAUUAUAAAAGAGGAUAAUUACAACAUAUUAAUUAUUAGAGUGUUGACUGUACUUCCAAACACAAGUAAAUGAUUGCAAGCGAGGAGCAAAACUAUUGGUAAACAAUAUUCUCAUCCAUGAACAUACCUGGAAGGCAAAUAUAACGUCAUAUGUGUGACCUCCAAAAUGACCAGGCUGCACAUGAGACCAACAAUACAAAGAAUCAGUGCUAGACUCUUCAGUGGCAAGAUUUUUAGUAAAUUUUCCAUUCUCCAUCGCUGUGAAAAAAAAAUAGCGUUGCCUGUCUAAAAAUUCUGCUACACAAUCACCAGUUAUAGGUGUAUAUAUGAUGUAAAUGCUUAUAUGAGGUCAAAAUCAAUAAAAUCGCCUGAACGCAACAGCUUCAAACUAUUACUCAAUUCGAGGAAAAAUGAUGUUUGCUGGAAAAAAAAAUGAAUAUAUAUAUGAUUACAUGUGAAUAAACCUAAUUUAAUAUCACACUCAAAAAAUGAAUUGUACACAGAAAAUACAAAAGCGAAGUUGGUAUAUAGAUAAUUUUCACUGGAUCCUAGAAUGCCAAAUUCAUUUUUAUUAUGAAAAUAAUAUAGAAGUUGAAUCAGCCUCAGGAAAAGGACCAUCAACUUGACAAUGGCAAGACAUCUGUUGGAUAGAAAAAUAAGGAAGAAGCUGUUUGUACUGUACAUGUACAGCCCCCUCACUGUGCUUUGGGGCCGAGCUGUGCACACAGCACAGCUCGAAAAAUAAUUUCUUGCUGAUUGAUGACAAGCCCAGAAAAUUUCUUGUUCUUAGUGGACUCUCUCCUAUUUAAAGCGCAGAAUUUUUCAGAAUAAUUUUACCCACCUACACAUGUUUGUAUAGCAACAAAAGAUGUAUCUGACAUGUACCAACUUGUUUCUUAAAAAAUGACUACCAUAUGAAGGAAGAGAGUAGGUAAUCGGAGCUAACCUGGUCUAACCUUAAUAGUCCCACCAUAAACCAUGAUACUCGGCCGGUUAAGUCGUCCCAUUGCCAUAAUGAUGCCUGGCAUCUACAAUAAUACGAGUAGUUUGCAACAUUUGAGGACCUUAACAGAAGUAACACCAUGACACAACUUUACCAAGGAAAUUUAUUGAAAUGAAGGAAAGGGAACACUAUUGACUAAAGAAACCAAAUUCGCUAAGGAAAGUAUUUCAUCAACUAAAAGAGGGGAUUGCGUGUACAUAUAUAUAAACUUCUUCAUAGAAAAAGAACAAGUGUGCAUUCCUUUCUGAGAAUCUUCAUCAGUUAAAAAUAGAAUUGCAGAAUACGGAAAUUUGAACAAUUUAAUGCGAAAUAGAAAUGCAUAAAAUUUCCAAGGAUGGCCCCUUCUCCUUCAUGUCUCCAGGUAAGAGUACUUUUGUGUAUAAACUGAAAUUCACAAGGGAAGCAACCAGCAAGGAUAUUGGUCGUCUCAUGUUUUAAAAUUAAAAUGGAAGCCUGAAAAUCCUUUUUUCACAGUGGUCAAACUCACCAAAGAACUCUAUCCAAGUUUAACUCUUCCACUGCAUUUCCAACAACUAACUCGCCUAUUUUUAUAGAUGAAAAAAUGUCCCAUGCACUACAUUCAGAAUUAGAGCUUCUUCUUUCUUUGAAAGCCAGACGGCGAAGAGUGUGACCAUCAAAAGCUACAAAUGCUCGUUACUAAUAGCCAUGUACGUCUACAUGAACAAUUAAAUACAGAUGCAGAAAUACACCCCAAAACAUUUAAAAAGCUCACAUAUUGUUACAAUAAAAAAAAAUAAUGCAAUUAACUGGCUGUUUAUUCUGAUAAUCACUUUGUGCUCAGGUACUUGAAGUAUUUAACGAAAAAGUAUCUAAAGAAGAACAAUGUGUGUGAUUGGCUGCAGGUGAUUGCUUUGAACAAGGAUAGAAAUGUUUUUGAAUUGAGGUACUUCAACAUUGCUGAGAAUGAGGCUGAGGAGGAAGAGUAAUGGAACUGGAAGAACAGUUAUUAUUCAUAUUUCCCGAGUUCAUUUUUGUUUUAGCUAGUGUUUACUGUGUUGGACAUCAGUUUCAAUUUUGUUUUCGGAAUCAAACGAUUUAGAUCUUAGAUAUAUAAUGGAGUUUAACUAUUAUUUCGGUAUUAAUAUGCUGUAAACUUCAUUUGCAAUGUUAUCUCGUGAAUGGUUUAUGAUUUACUCGUGGGGUUGCUUGGACGGGGCUGGAUCAGAUCGUGACUUGUCAUGGAUAUAGUAUUUCUUCAUUUAAGAGCAAUAUAAUAUAAAAUCUACCAUUCAGUGUAUGAAUUUGAGUACUUACCCAAUAUGGAAACUGAAAAUUGCAGGCCCUAUUGACCAGCUGCCAAAUCUGAAUUCCAGCUGACAAAGAGACACGUGAUCCACCACUUCAAUUCAAAUUUAAAUUUUUGGAAGAGUCAUCAACUAUAGAUACACAAUAGAUACAAAAUACUUCCAACCAUCAACAAAGAGAAUGAUACGUCCAGUAGUGGCUGAAAGCACCCAGAAACGACCAGCUGAACGGACUCAAAGACCACCAAUCUGCCAAAACCGUCAUUUGAACGAGCCACGAGCCACUCGGCUCAUGGCUCGUGGACAGUCACUUUUUCAGUGUCCGUUUAUUUUUAGUGACCCAAACGAUCACUGAAAUUCAGUGGUCGUUUCAGUCACUGAGCUUUUUUAUUUUAAUUGUUUUCCUCACUACACAUCUAUUAUAAAUAUCCCCCUAAUCUCCAUUUUUUUUUCAUAUCAAAACUCCAUUCUCACUUAUCAACUCUUAUAUCAAUUAUCAAGUUUUUACUCUCUCUUGUACUGUUGUGCAAAAUAUAUAAUAUUGACUCAUUUUUUAUAGUUUAUUCAGUUACAAUUUCAAUUCAUCCAAUUCUCAGUUCUCACUAUAUUUAUAUUUUUGCUAGUUAUUAUAUUUAGAUUUCAUCACAAACUACAAAACAAAUGGAUCAAUGCUCAUUUGUUGAGAGCUUGUUUGAUACAAGAUGUGGGCUACAUGGCAAAUCACCUAGGACGUUGCAAAAUCAAUUUUCGAAUGAAUUUGUCGGUCUAAAUGACGCACCCAUUCCUGAAGAUUUUCACGUUCAUGGUCAUGAAAGCCACAAUCCAAUUGAUUUUGAUGAUAUUAACGUUCUUAAAACAAAACAUGAAGAUGAAGAUGCCAAAUUAAACAUCCCAGAUGCGAGGGGAAAGCGAAAGGAAAAAAAUAAACAAAAUAUUGGGAUCACUUUAAGUUGAUUUUAACAGGAAAAGUCAUCGAUAACCUCGUAGAAUCUAAGGCAGUAUUUACAUACUGCCAACAAAGAUUGGAAUGACAAAAAGGAAUUAGUACCACCCAUCUCAACCGUCACUACAAAGCAUGUACGGCCAGAUAUGGACUUCUUUCAGCUCGUCAAACACAAUUGCAAUUUGACAGUCCAGGCGCCGGUUUUAUGACUUCAUCCCUAUCCACGUAAAUGUUUAGAAGACAAUACUCGAACUGAAAUGGUGAAAUUUGUUGCCGCCACUGAGUUGCCUCUGGCUAUUGACGAUAACCAACACUCUGUCUCGUUCGUGAAAAAAUAUCUGUAACCAAGGUACGUUGAGGUAAGUGGAAACACUCUUCGUGUCGAUACAAUAUAAUAUUUCAAUGAUUCAAAACAACUAUUAAUUAUGACUUUGUAAUAAUAUGUGGGAGUUAUAUCUUUAACUUCUGAUAUAUGGUAAGAGGUUAAUAAAAUAGCAUAUAUAGCUGCAACCGUACACUAUAUAGAUCCACUUUGGUGCAUGCAUAAAAAAUUACUGCUUUUAGAAUUAUUGAGUUUCCGCACAAUGCUAAUAAUAUAUAUAAUGCUAUUAUCAGUAUUGUUAGAAAAUAUAAUUGAGAGACUCAAAUUCGAUCUUUUACUUUCGAUAAUGCUAGUGUUAAUAAGGUAGUCGUCGAUAAAUUGUAUAGGGUACGUCAACCUGAUCUCGGUGAGUAUUUGUUUCAUAUUCGUUAUGUGUGCCAUAUUUUGAAUUUAAUUGUGUAAGAUGGCUUAAAAUAUAUAAAGGAUGAACUUCAAAGAAUUAGGAACGCAUUUCUAUAUAUAUAUUACGAUUUCUCCUAGUAGAAAAUAAGCAUUUGAAGAUUUUUGUGCCGAACUAAAGCUGACGACUGCUAAAACAUUUGUUAGCGACAUAGGUCAUAGAUGGAACUCUACUUACUUGCUACUAAAGUCAUGUGAAAGUUUCGAACAUUUAAUAACUGACUUUUAUAACAAUAGACACAUUAAAAGCGAUGGCGAUAGAAUGUUGAAUGAAUUCGAUUGGAUUUUAGCUUUGAACACAAAGAUUUUAUCUGACAUUUAUUAUUCCACAAGCUGUAUAGUUCUUGAACAUCUUUAUAUAAUUGCAAAAACAUUCCAUAAAUAUAAAAAUGAUCAUGAUUUUAGUGAAAUUAUAAUUGCGAUGAAAUUAAAGUUUAGAAAAUAUUGGAAAGAACUGCCUAUGUUAUUUCCUUUAACAUAGGCAAUGGGACCCCCAAUAUAAUAUAUUGGGAAAAUACGUAAUUGAUCAAAUCAAUAAAACCUUAAUACUUGAUACAACGAUCACCUAUAGGAAUUUAGAGCAAAUAUUAUGUGGAAUGUAUGAUUAAUAUACAGAACGGAUGGGUGGGAAUGUUAGUCGAGUAUCCUCUGUACCUACUUCUUCGGUUGAAAUUGAAGAUGGUGCCAAAAUAAUGAAUUUAUUUUAAGGCAUUAAUACGUUUAGAUAUGAUGCAACUGCAAUGUGUUCAUCUAGUGUCAUGUCGUCUACACUUGUAUCUCAUCAAACAUCGAUCGCAACUCAAAAUGUUAUGUCUGCCGAAUUAAUUGAUUACUUCAAUCAUUAUAUGCCAAUAGACAAAACAAUUAAAAAAAGUUCAGAAGAAGUAAUUGAAUUCUAGUGAAAGUAUGAAAGACGUUGGUCAAUUAUUUCUGCAAUUGUGAAAGAUCUACUGACACCUCCGGUUAGCACUAUUACUUCAGAGAUUGCUUUUAGUGCAAGUAAAAGGGUUUUGACCGAUAUGAGGAGCUGACUAAAAGAAGAUGUUAUGAAAGCGUUAAUGUACGUGAAGAAUUGGCAAGACGCUCAUUUUCGACUACAAGAUAAAUACUCUAAAAUUGCAUAUCGUCAGGUAAGUAAUAUUUGAUUUAAUUAUAUUAAUCAAAAAUUUUUAUUUUUUAAUCGUUAAAUUUAAUUUUCUUUAAAAAUUUGUACCCGUUAGAACAAGUUGUUUGUGUACAAUUUUUAACUCCGCCUACUUAAAAUUAAUAUAGUCGGUCUCAAGUUCGGAUAAAGGAGAAGGGUUUACAUUUUAUCUACUUUAAAAAAAAUCAAAAAAAUGUAUUUUUAAAAAAAUUCGUCUUCAUUACAUAAAUAUUUAAUAUUUUAUAGAAAAUAUUACAAUAUGAUAGAAAUUAAAAAAAAAAUGUCUUCAUUAAAUUAUUUUUAAAAAAAAUGCAUUAAAUUAUUUGUGUUUUUUUAACACUUUUUAUUAUUUUUUUUAAAAGUGUCUUCAUUAAAUUAUUUGUAUUUUUCAGUAUUUAUAAUUAUAAAAAAAAUAUGGACGAGCUCGCGAGCCAAAGCUUGGCUCGGCCCACGAGGCUCGACCCAUGAGCUCAUGGGCCUAGCCGAGCUUGCCCAAAAUGAAUGAGCCAAGCUUGAGCUCAGCUCGUUCAAAAUGAGCCACGAGCUCGUGAGUUUACGGGCCGAGCCCCUACUCACUAGGCUUGAAAGCACCUCUCUGUUGACUGUCUAUUUUUCAUUUGUAUAAAUUCUGCCCUGGAUCAUUUUUGCUGCUCUGAAUUCGCAGACUUGUAGUUUAUUUGUAGUUUCCAUUUCUAGCUUUCUGAUUCCCCUGCUGACCCAACCUAAUCCCCUUCUUUUGUGCUUGUUUGGCCUGGACUUUUUGGGUUUUACGUGGGCUAACUAGCCCAACUUUCUCUCUUGCUGGGCCAUUUCAUGCUCUGUCUUUGUGUGGGCAAGAAAAAAUCUGGUGCCAGCCCAUUAUAUUAAACCUCGGGCAGUUAGGAAGUCGGAUUUUGGAGGAUGUGGUGACGUAUCUUUGAAGAUCAAUUUGGAUGAGAGUAAAAAAGGAAAAUUUAUCCUCACCUAGUGUAUCAUUAAUGCUUGGGGAAGAGGAUACAGAAUUUGAAAAUUCUGAUUUUGAGUUACAAACGACGGAAUUGAAGAACCAACAAAAGAAAAUGUUGCUAGGAUUGAUGUUGAAAAAAAAUGUUAAAGCGCCAUGGGUAAACCUCUUCAAGGACAAUAGGAAAGUGAAGGAAAAUAUUUAGUUAAAGCCCUUCGAAAAUCAAUUGGAAGAAGUGGUUUUGGGCAAAUCGGAUGAAGACAAUAUUGAGAGCACUUGGGGAUAUGGUCUUGUUGGGUAUUUUGCCGAUAGAUUUCCAGGAAAAGCAGCCUUACUCCAAUUAUGUGAUUCCUGGAAGGUUAAUUACAAAUAUUAUGUACACUCGAGCGGAUGGUUGGUUUUCAAAUUUGAGACGGAUUUGGAAAGACUAAGUGUGUUGCAUGGUGGUCCCUACUUGGUAUAUGGGAGGCCAUUAAUGUUAAAAGUCAUACCCCGUUACUUUUAUUUUGAUGACAAAGACGUUAGCACUAUGUCGGUUUGGAUAAACUUACUGGGGUUGCCAUUGAAGUUUUGGAACACGAGUGCCUUGGAUAAAAUUGUCUCCAAGGUUGAUAAGCCCAUCUCGACCAAUAAGGUCACGGUAACUAGAGGGAGAUUAUCAUAUGCAAGAGCACUAGCUGAAGUUGAUGCAUCUAUUGAGCUUGUGCGGGUGGUGAAGAAAAGGCUUCCAAAUGGCACUUUGAGGGAGCAAGAAAUCUUGUUCGAACAUGAGCCAAAGUUUUGUGGUUCUUGUAAAGUGUUUGGACACUCUACUCUUGGUUGCAACCACAACAAACAAGCAAUAGAUGACAAAGGAAACACCAAAAAUGGCAAGGCAUUAAAUCCUCUCAUGCCGACGGUAGAAGAGAGAAUGUACAGGUUGGACAGAUUCAUGCAAUUUCAAAUUUGCAGCAAUUUACAGCUAAGACAGCAACACAAUCUCAAGUUAAUUCAGCUAGAAAUGAGGGACAACAGGCUAUGGACAUGGAUGACCAGAAGGGGCAGCCUUCGAAUUAAAAUUGUACACAGCUACAUUCGGAUGUUGUGGAUGACCAGUAGGGGCAGAUUCUGGACCAGGUGGAUGCUCCAUUCAUUGAAGUAGUUAACAGGAAAAUGGAGCUGGUCGUGGAAAAAAAAUCAGUAAGUAUUGCAUCAUCUCAAGUGCCGACAAAUGAUAGUUGUCAAAUGGAGAUUUCUGGGGCAGAUUCUACGUCCAAAGUGAGAGAGGCGGCCUCCAAACAUGCAUGCAAUGAAAAGCUCAAAGGGAAGAUUGAUGAGACAAGAAAAGCUGGGACUAAAGUUGACAAAAAGAAGGGUUCCUUCCUUGCUUCAACAUCAUGAAGAUCGCAUCGUAGAAUAUUAGGGGUUUGAAUCUCCCCCAAACAAAAUGAGAUCCUGGAGUUCAUCAAGCUACAUUGCAUUGAUGUUAUGGGUAUUUUGGAGAUGAAGCUUAGAGAAACUAAGUUGAAUCGAGUUAUGCGGAAAAAUUUUGAUGGCUUUAUGCAAGUCAAUAAUUUUUGUACUCAUAGAGCCGGGCGGAUUUUGAUCUUGUGGAAUCCAUCCAAAGUUAAUUUGGAAGUUUUGGAGACUACUCUGCUAAUCAUUCAUUGUAUCGCUACUUGUAAGGUAACGCCUUAUACCUUUCUUGUUAGCUUUGUUUAUGCUUUUCAUACAAUUGUUAGCCAAAGGCCGCUUUGGAACAACAUCAUGGAUUUCAAUGUAAAUGUUUCAUUGCCUUGGAUGAUUCUUGGUGAUUUUAACAACGUACUCAAGUUUGAUGAGAAAAGUAACGGUACGAAGGUAACCCCCUAUGAAAUUAAAGAUUUUGCUAAUUGUUGUCUUCAUGUUGAUUUUGCGGAUGUGCACUCUAUUGGUUGUCUUUACACAUGGACUAAUAAUUCGGUGUGGAGCAAAAUUGAUAGGGCUAUGGUGAAUGACAUUUGGGUGCAAAAUGGUACAUAUGGAUUUGCUGAUUUUUUACCUUCAGAGUGCCUUUCCAACCAUUCUCCAUGUAUUGUGACUGUUCAUGACCGUGAGGUGAACACCAGGAAAUCAUUCAAAAUCUACAACAUGUGGACAAGUCAUGAAGAUUUCCAUGGACUUGUUCAAGUAAGCUGAAUUUUGAUGUGGUGGGGACAAAGCAAUUUGUUCUUUGUAAGAAGUUGCAUAAGUUAAAAUGAGCAUUGAAGGAGCUAAAUGUUAAGCACUUUGGGCACAUUUCUACUUGGGCAAAUGAGGCUAAAAGAGAAUUGGAGGCUGCCCAACUCAUGCUUCAUGAUCAGCCCACAAACAAGCAUAAUCAACUUAUGGUGGCAAGUUUGAGAAAGAAAGUCAUGGGAUAUGUGAAGUGGAACGUACCUUUUAUUAUCAACAAGCAAAGUGCAUUUUCCUUAAACAAAGUGACAAGUGUACAAAAUUCUUCCACACGGUAGUGAAAAGGAACACAAGGAGAAACUUUAUUGCUACUAUGCUCAAAGAGGAUAGGAUGUAUACUACUUCACAAGAACAAGUUGCUCGGGAAUUUGUCCAACUUUACACCAACUUACUUGGUAAAAGUGAGCCGGUUCGGCCUAUUGAGCUGGACAUUAUUAGCAAUGGACCUUUGAUAUCUUUGGAACAAGGCAACUCAUUGAUCUAGGAAAUUUCUAAUGAUGAGAUCAAAAGAAGCACUCUUUGGUAUUGGAGAUAAUAAAUCUUCCAGGACGGAUGGUUACACUUUAUGUUUAUUUAAAAAAGCAUGGGGGACUAUUUAACAUGAUUUUGUGGAGGAUAUCAUGGAAUUCUUCUAAUUGGGAUCCAUCCUCAAACAAAUCAACCACACGGUCAUUGCUUUGGUGCCAAAGUCAAGUCACGCACCUAGCAUUGUAGAUUAUAGGCUUAUAUCUUGUUGUAAUGUUAUCUACAAAAUGAUUAUUAACAUCCUCACUUCUAGAUUGAGGCCUAUCUUGGAGAAUAUUGUGGACCAUGCACAAGCCACUUUUGUUGAAGGUAGGAUUAUGAUGGAAAACAUCUAUCUUGCCCAAGAACUCAUGAGAAAAUAUAAUAAAAAAGGGUUGCUCUAAGAUGCCUCCUAAAUAUUGAUCUAAGGAAAGCUUAUGAUUCGAUAAGUUGGGAUUUCCCAAAAGGUGUUUUUGAAGGGUUGCACUUCCCUUUGAGAUUUAUACAAUGGGUUAUGGAAUGUAUUACUUCUCCAACAUAUUCCAUAGCUUUGAACGGAAGUUUACAUGGUUUCUUCAAAAGAGUGAAAGGCUUCCAGCAAGGUGAUCCUCUAUCCCCAGUUUUGUUCGUGCUUUGUACUGAAUAUUUUUCAAGAAUGUUUAGGGCUGUCACGAAUGAUAGUGAAUUCAAUUAUCAUCCUAAUUGUGGCCCCUUAAAGAUCACUCACUUAGCUUUUGCGAAUGAUUUGAUGCUCUUUGCAAGGGGAUAUUUUUAGUCGGUACAAAUCUAAUGGAUUACCUUUCCAACUAUGGUCUUGUAUCGGGUUUAAGGAUGAAGAUCCUAAAAUCCAACUUGUAUACAACUAGUAUUCGAAGGCAAGAGCUUGAUGAUAUACUUGAACUCACAAAUUUCCCGAAGGUUACUAUGUCGUUCCAUUAUUUGGGCAUCCAUCUUGUCCUAAAGUUAGUUGUUAUGCUCAAUUUCUUGAAAAAAAAAAUACAGCUUAUAUUGAUGCUUGGAAUUGCUCCUCUCUAUCUUAUGUGGGCAAGGUGGAACUUAUUAGGGCGGUCCUUCAAGGUGCUGAAUGUUUUUGGCUUUCCAUCUUCCUUAUUCCGACUGCAAUUAUCUCAAGAAUUGUUAGCCUUUGUCGAAAAUUUCUUUGGGGCUCCAAGAAGCCUUUGGUGGUGUGGAAGGAUGUUUGCCUUCCAAAAGAUGAAGGGGGUCUUGGGUUGAAGGACUUGAAGAGUUGGAACUUAGCUUUACUCACUAAAUCCCUUUGGAAUAUUCAACAUAAAAAGGACACUCUCCCCUCUUCAAAAAACUGCUAGAUUUCAUGGAUAUGUUGCUAAAAACUGUUCCUGCUCCCCAGAUUUGUGAACAAGGACAGCCCAUGCUAUCCAUUUAGAUGGUGGGAGGAAACAACCUGAUUAUAUCUGCUGGAAUAACCUCAAGUCAGUGUGUUGUGUUUCCACAGAACAGUGAGUGUUUUCAGGCAAUUCUGGAUAGAUUUAAGGCCUGGUCAACUGGUGAAAAAUUAUGCACAAAAAUGACCUAUGAUUACUUCCGGUCGAGAAGUACAAAGAGGAUUCGAUCUGCUGAUGCUUGGAGAUCUUGCAUAACAUCGAAGCACUCAUUUUUGCUUUGGUUAGCGGUUCAAUCUAAACUCCUAACUAAAGACAAAUUUCAAUAUUUGGAUAUCGAUUGUAAUUGUGUUCUUUGUGGGCAUAUGGCGGAAACAAACCGUUACUCAUUUUUUGAAUGUUCUUUCACAUCUUCCUUAUAAGGGAACAUUAGACAGUGGCUCAUCAGAAGAUCCAUGUCAACAUUUGCUAGUACUUUAAAGUGAAUGAAAAAAAAGGCCCGUGGGACAUCAAGUCUCAGCAAGGUUAAGAGGAUUGCACUUGCAAGUACCAUCUACUACAUUUGGUUAGCGUGUAACAUGAAGAUUUUUUAAGACCUUUCACCUCACUUGGAUUAUAUUGUGAGAGGGAUCGAGACACAUGUAUAUAAAGUUAUGUUCUCUUUGUAUUUGGAUGUCUUGAUCCAUUUCGAGUCCUUAGUGUUGGGUAUGCCCGGAGUAAUUGUACGUAACAUUGGCUUUUUUUGUCCGAGUAUGCACGGUGUACUUGUAUAUGAAAUUUUGAUCAAUGAAAUUUACAUUUACCAGUAAAAAAAGAUUCUUUUUUAAUUUUGGUAAGUACGGUGCCAGGGUCUUCCUCAUUUUUGUCAAUAAAAGCAUCAACAGUGGAGAUCCAAGCUCACCCCCAACCACUGAGGCGAUCGUCCGCCUAGUAUACACCUGAAUUGCCAUAAUUCUACUUUAUGGGAUCGACAAUUAUUGUUGCAACCCGCUUCUAGGAGCAAUGGAAUGAAGCAUUGGAAACUACUAUCCUUUAAAACUCAUAAAGAGACGUGUCCGUUUUCCUUUAAAAACUCAACAACCAAAAAAUAUUUUAUGCACUCUGUCUAAGGACAUACCAUUCUUGUGGAUUUCCUCAAUACUUGUGGUCCUAUACUUUGUAAGAUUAACAUAUUCAAUU
rnacentral:lncRNA from 1 species